GACGAACCGUGCGACCGUUGUUCGGAAUCACUGGGCUUAAAGGGCGCGUAGGCGGCUCCGCCAGUCGGGGGUGAAAUCCCACGGCCUAACCGUGGAAGUGCCUCCGAUACUGCGGGGCUGGAGGGAGGUAGGGGCAGCGGGAACUUCGGGUGGAGCGGUGAAAUGCGUUGAUAUCCGAAGGAACGCCGGUGGCGAAAGCGCGCUGCUGGACCUCUUCCGACGCUGAGGCGCGAAAGCCAGGGGAGCAAACGGG
rnacentral:rRNA from 1 species